rnacentral:rRNA from 1 species
UGUGACCUCAAAUCAGGUAGGACUACCCGCUGAACUUAAGCAUAUCAAUAAGCGGAGGAAAAGAAACUAACAAGGAUUCCCCUAGUAACUGCGAGUGAAGCGGGAAAAGCUCAAAUUUAAAAUCUGGCAGUCUUUGGCUGUCCGAGUUGUAAUCUAGAGAAGUGUUAUCCGCGCUGGACCGUGUACAAGUCUCCUGGAAUGGAGCGUCAUAGAGGGUGAGAAUCCCGUCUUUGACACGGACUACCAGGGCUUUGUGAUGCGCUCUCAAAGAGUCGAGUUGUUUGGGAAUGCAGCUCAAAAUGGGUGGUAAAUUCCAUCUAAAGCUAAAUAUUGGCGAGAGACCGAUAGCGAACAAGUACCGUGAGGGAAAGAUGAAAAGAACUUUGGAAAGAGAGUUAAACAGUACGUGAAAUUGCUGAAAGGGAAACGCUUGAAGUCAGUCGCGUUGUCCAGGGAUCAACCUUGCUUUUGCUUGGUGCACUUUCUGGUUGACGGGUCAGCAUCAAUUUUGACCAUUGGAAAAAGAUUAAGGGAAUGUGGCAUCUUUGGAUGUGUUAUAGCCCUUGGUUGCAUACGAUGGUUGGGAUUGAGGAACUCAGCACGCCGCAAGGCCGGGUUUUUAACCACGUACGUGCUUAGGAUGCUGGCAUAAUGGCUUUAAUCGACCCGUCUUGAAACACGGACCAAGGAGUCUAACAUGCCUGCGAGUGUUUGGGUGGAAAACCCGAGCGCGUAAUGAAAGUGAAAGUUGAGAUCCCUGUCGUGGGGAGCAUCGACGCCCGGACCAGACCUUUUGUGACGGUUCCGCGGUAGAGCAUGUAUGUUGGGACCCGAAAGAUGGUGAACUAUGCCUGAAUAGGGUGAAGCCAGAGGAAACUCUGGUGGAGGCUCGUAGCGAUUCUGACGUGCAAAUCGAUCGUCAAAUUUGGGUAUAGGGGCGAAAGAC